AUUUCAGAAAUGGAGGUUGGCUUAGCAGUUGGUGGUGCAUUUCUCUCUUCAGCUUUGAAUGUUCUCUUUGAUAGGCUUGCUCCUCACAGUGAUCUGCUCAACAUAUUUCGGAAGCAUAAGGAUCAUGUUCCGCUCUUACAGAAGCUGAAAAUGACUUUGCGUGGUCUUCAGAUUGUGCUAAGUGAUGCAGAGAAUAAGCAGGCAUCAGACCCAUCUGUGAGCGACUGGCUUAAUGAGCUUUGAGAUGCUGUGGACUCUUCUGAAAACUUAAUAGAAGAAGUCAAUUAUGAAGCUUUGAGGCUUAAGGUGGAAGGCCAGCAUCAAAAUCUUGCAGAAACAAGCGACCAGCAAGUAAGUGACCUCAACCUGUGCUUGAGUGAUGAUUUCUUUCGUAACAUAAAGGAUAAGUUGGAAGAAACCAUUGAAACAUUGGAGGUGUUGGAAAAGCAAAUUGGUCGCCUUGGCUUAAAGGAUCAUUUUGGUUCGACUAAACAAGAAACUAGAAUACCUUCAACUUCUUUGGUUGAUGAUUCUGAUAUCUUUGGUAGGCAGAGUGAAAUAGAGGAUUUGAUUGACCGUUUAAUAUCUGAAGAUGCAAGUGGAAAAAAGCUGACUGUAGUUCCUAUUGUUGGAAUGGGCGGCCUAGGUAAGACAACACUUGCUAAAGCCGUUUACAAUGAUGAGAAGGUGAAGGACCAUUUUGGUUUGAAAGCUUGGUUUUGUGUUUCUGAGGCAUAUGAUGCUUUCAGAAUAACAAAAGGUUUACUUCAAGAAAUUGGCUCAUUUGACUCAAAGGAUGUCCACAACAAUCUUAAUCAGCUUCAAGUGAAAUUGAAGGAAAACUUAAAGGGAAAGAAGUUUCUUAUUGUUCUGGAUGAUGUGUGGAAUGACAACUACAAUGAGUGGGUUGACUUGAGAAAUAUUUUUGUACAAGGAGAUAUAGGAAGUAAGAUCAUUGUGACGACACGCAAAGAGAGUGUUGCCUUGAUACUGGGAAAUGAGCAAAUUAGCAUGGACAAUUUGUCUACUGAAGCCUCUUGGUCUUUAUUUAAAAGACAUGCAUUUGAAAACAUGGAUCCUAUGGGAUAUCCGGAACUUGAAGAGGUCGGAAAACAAAUUGCAGCUAAGUGCAAAGGACUGCCCUUAGCUCUGAAGACGCUCGCUGGCAUGUUACGCUCCAAAUCAGAAGUUGAAGGGUGGAAACGUAUUUUGAGAAGUGAAAUAUGGGAGCUUCCACACAAUGACAUAUUACCAGCGUUGAUGUUGAGCUACAAUGAUCUUCCUGCACAUUUAAAGCGAUGUUUUUCCUAUUGUGCAAUAUUUCCUAAAGAUUAUCCAAUUAGUAAAGAACAAGUAAUUCAUCUGUGGAUUGCCAAUGGUCUCGUACCACAGGAAGAUGAAAUAGUUGAAGAUUUAGGCAACCAAUACUUUCUCGAAUUGAGAUCAAGAUCAUUAUUCGAAAAGCUGAGGACAUUGCUUCCGAUAUGGAUUGGUAUCAAUGAUUACUCCCUAAGCAAGAGGGUGCAACAUAACAUACUGCCAAGACUAAGAUCCUUAAGGGCAUUAUCAUUGUCUAAUUAUAGGAUUAAGGAGUUGCCAAAUGACUUGUUUAUCAAAUUAAAGCUCCUCAGAUUUUUGGACCUUUCUUGUACAGGGAUUAAAAAGUUGCCAGAUUCCAUAUGUGCAUUGUAUAACUUGGAGAUACUUCUCUUGUCAACUUGCUAUUAUCUUGUGGAGCUACCGCUGCAGAUGGAGAAGUUGAUCAACUUGCAUCAUCUUGACAUAAGCUACACUCCGUGCUUGAAGAUGCCACUACAUCUGAGCAAGUUGAAAAGCCUCCAAGUGCUAGUAGGAGCCAGGAUUCUUGUUGGUGGUCGUGGUGGUUCGAGAAUGGAAGAGUUGGGUGAAGCACAGAACUUGUAUGGAUCUGUAUCGGUUUUAGAGUUGCAAAAUGUGGUUGAUAGAAGGGAAGCUGUGAAGGCAAAGAUGAGGGAGAAGAAUCAUGUUGACAAGUUAUAUUUGAAGUGGAGUGAAAGUAGUAGUGCCGACAAUUCACAAACUGAAAGAGACAUACUUGAUGCACUACGCCCACACACAAACAUAAAAAAAAACUCGAGAUCACCGGAUAUAGAGGGACAAAUUUUCCAAAUUGGCUAGCUGAUCUUUCAUUUCUUAAGCUAGUAGAAUUGAGUCUUACUUAGCAACUGCAAGGACUGUUAUUCCUUGCCAGCACUAGGACAACUUCCUUGUUGAAAUUCCUUUGCAUUAGAGGGAUGCAUGGAAUAACAGAGGUGAUAGAAGAAUUCUAUGGAAGUUCUUCAUCCAAAAAGCCUUUUAACUCUCUUGAGGAGCUUGCAUUUGCAGAUAUGCCGGAGUGGAAGCAAUGGCACGUACUAGGAAAUGGGGAGUUCCCUAUACUUGAGAACCUUUCAGUUAGAAAUUGCCCUGAAGUCAGUUUGGAGACACCCAUCCACCUUUCAAGUUUAAAAAGCAUACUGCCGAGUACCUUGAAGAGAAUAAGGAUAUCUGGUUGCCAGAAAUUGAAAUUGGAUCCGCCAGUUGGUGAGAUGAGUAUGUUUCUGGAGGAUUUGACACUGGUGGGAUGUAAUUGUAUAGAUGAUAUAUCACCAGAGUUGAUCCCAAGCGCACGCAGAUUGUAUGUAUCUAAUUGCCACAACCUUAUUAGGUUUUUGAUUCCUACUGCCACUGAAACACUCGUUAUUGAGGAUUGUAAGAAUGUUGAAAAACUUUCGGUGGCAUGUGGGGGGACCCAGAUGACGUCACUGAGAAUUGUCUACUGCAAGAAGCUGAAUUGGCUGCCAGAACGUGUGCAGGAACUCCUUCCAUCUCUUAAGGAACUGCAACUGUAUGAUUGUCCAAAAAUAGAGUCCUUUCCUGAAGGAGGAUUGCCCUUCAAUUUACAACAACUUUCUAUUGGCAACGGCCGAAAGGAGUGGCGUUUACCGAGACUCCCCUGUCUCAAACAGUUAGUCAUCAAACAUGAUGGCAGUGACGAAGAGAUUGUUGGUGGUGAGAAUUGGGAGUUGCCUUCCUCUAUUCAAACACUUACCAUAAACAAUGUGAAAACAUUAAGCAGCCAACAUCUCAAAAGCCUCACCUCUCUUCAACAUCUCAAAAGCCUCACCUCUCUUCAACAUCUAACUACUUUUAACAUUAAGCAGCUUCCCUCCUCUCUUUCUAAGCUAGAAUUAUAUGACCAUCAUGAGCUCCAUUCACUAGGUCUUUGGCACCUCACUUCGCUUCGACGUCUACACAUUGUGAAUUGCCUUAAUCUCCAAUCACUUUCCGAAUCAGCACUGCCCUCCUCCCUCUCUGAGCUGACCAUCUAUGAUUGCCCUAAUCUCCAAUCCCUUCCAGUAAAAGGGAUGCCCUCUUCCCUCUCUAUAUUAUCUAUUCACAAUUGCCCAUUGCUCACACCACUACUAGAAUUUGAAAAGGGGGAAUACUGGCCAGAAAUUGCUCAAAUUCCCAUCAUAGACAUCAAUCGGGAAUACCUAUGA